GCCCGCGACUGCAUGCCGCGACACCAAUAGCAACGCCUACCGAUCCGCCGAAAGAGUCUAGGUAAAACACGACGACGAAGGCCAGACGCUCUCCCUCCGACCAAAAUUCGGGACAGCAGUCGCGGUAAUACGUGGAAGACUAGUGUUAUUCAUCUUUAAUAGGUUUAAAGGGUACCUAGACGGUAAAUUUAGCCCAAAAAGGGUACGGAUUUACUAGAGUUUUAUGUGAGGAGGGGAGUACUUGUAGAGUAAAGAUGAAAUUUUGUGAUACUAUAAGGAAACUGGUAACGGCGAAAGCAACCUUCUAUGUAUAAACUGACGUUGAGGGACGAAGGCUUGGGUAGCAAACAGGAUUAGAUACCCUAAUAGUCCAAGCAGACAAUUCUGAAUGCCAUAGAUUAGAUUUUUUUUUGGUCUAUAAAUGAAAGUGCAAGCAUUCCACCUUAAGAGUAAUGUGGCAACACAGGAACUGAAAUCAUUAGACCGUUUCUGAAACCAGUAGUGAAGUAUGUUAUUUAAUUAGAUGGUCCACAAAAAACCUUACCACAACUUGAAUAUUAUUAAUUUAAUACAAGCGUUGCACGGCUGUCUUCAGUUAAUGUCGUGAGAUUUUGGUUAACUCCAUUAAAUUAACGUAAACCCUUACUUUUUUUUUAUAUAAAGUAGUUCACCAUUAAAUUGGAUAUGAUAAUAGGGACUAAGACAAGUCAUCAUGACCUGAAUAUUGUGGGCU
rnacentral:rRNA from 1 species